rnacentral:tRNA from 1 species
GUGGAUGUAGCUCAGCUGGUAGAGCCCCGGGUUGUGAUCCCGGUGGUCGUGGGUUCAAGCCCCAUCAUCCACCCCA